AUGGCCAAAUAUUUCUGGAGCAGCUCUAUUGACAAAAAUGCGUUGCAUUGGGUUUCCUGGAAGAAUUUGGCUACACCAAAGUGCCAAGGUGGUAUGGGGUUUCGUGACCCUCAUCAGUUCAAUCUUGCACUGCUCGGGAAGCAUGGUUGGCGCUUUAUGACUAACCCUAAUUCUCUUUGCGCAAGAGUAAUGAAAGGCCGAUACUUUCCUGACACAGAUUUCUUGCAUGCUUCUGUUCCAAAGUCAGCGUCAGCGACUUGGCGAGCCAUCAUUGCUGGC
rnacentral:rRNA from 1 species